rnacentral:lncRNA from 1 species
CCAUUUAGAAAACUUUACUAGAAGACAAAUUUCUUUACAUAAAGCGGAUAUAUAUAUACGGCUUUGCCUUCAUACUCUAGGCAAAGACAUCCUCUCCUUCAUCUGGAUGCUAAGAUAAAUCUUGUGAAUCCUUCAAAAGGGGUAUCUCCUCUACCUCCCUUUUGCUUGAUCCUGGUUAUAAUCCAACGUCUGUCCAUCCCCGUAAUGCUCCUCAGCUUCUUUAAGGCAGUUGGAAUGUCAGAAACUCUUGAAUAAUCAGCUUGAAUCAUCGGGCCACAAAGUAAAGUCAUGCACUCCUCCAUCACCCUUCUUGCGUUUCUCAGAAUAUAUUUAGGCAACCGUAUUAUCUUCCACUUUAUCAAGAAACCCAUUUCCCAUGAUAAACUUUCUGUUUAGCAAUCGAAUACGAACCAACGCCUCUUUAUAAUGGAAUGCCAUGUAAUUGUAAUGCCAUGCAAUCAGAGUAAAACACAAAAAGUCAGUAACAGUUAAAUACAAUACAACCAAGAAAUAGUAAAAUCCCCUAAUUAGAUCUCUACUAAGGUUCAAAGUAAUUCUACCUAGGGUGGGUUCCUAAUGUUCACUAUAUGAGGUUUGGUUUCUAGGGAAAUGGUACCCGAACCAGCAGAUUCCUCGAUCCUCACCCAUUAUAGGCUCAUACAGACCAAGUUCAGUUCAAGGGAAUACAUUUCCCUAUGGCUGCACGGAGAUGAAAAUCUCACGAAGACAUAGGUACAGAUGUAUUCCGAAAGCGAUCCACUACCCUGCACGGAGGUGAAAACCUCACGAAGGACUAGCUUCUCACUCCCACUUAAAGGGGUAAAAUUGACCAUGAAAUGCAAAAUGCAAAUAAGCUAACAGCCUUAAGCUAAUCAAGCAAAUAUAUAACAAUGAAAAAUCAAUGAAUGCAAAAGGGAAAUCAUGGUUUAAAAAAAUCUUUAAUUCUCAACAAAAAGAUACCAAAUAAUCAAUUUAUGGCUCGACUCUCAAAAGUCCCCAGCGGAGUCGCCAAGCUGUCGAAACCAUUUUUUUGAAAAAACAAAAAUAAGUUAUCGACUUUAAGAACAAAAAUUGGAGUCGCCACCGAUCCUUUAUUAAGGUGUGAUUGGCUCACCAUAAAAACAAUUCUAGUCUGCAAAAUUUGAGAAAACAGGUUCGGGAGUCAGUUACGGACGAGGAAGGGUUAGCACCCUCGUAACGCCCAAAAAUCGGUACCAAAUUUGAUUAUUUUAUGUCUUGAUGUCGAAAAUUUGAAAAGAGUUUAAAAAAUUUUAACCCGUGAAUGUAUUAAAAUGACAAAACAUUCUCAUUUCAAAGAAAUAAAACACCACACCCAGUAAGUUAGGGCACAAUAUUUUAAAUCUUCAAAAUACCGAAUAUUGCUUUUUGUUUUAGAAAUUCUUAUUUCGAGAUGACGAAAUGUCACGACCAGUAAGUUAGGACCCGACAUUUUACAUUCCCGAGAAUAAGCUUUUAUUUGAAAAUUGCAAAUUUAUUGUGAAAUAAAUACUUAGCUUGCUAAAUUCAUCGAAAAAAAUGAUCACGAUCCAGUAAGUUAGGACACGAUCUUUCUCGAGAAUCAUGAUUGCCAAAUAUUUAAUUUAAAAAAAAACAAUUUUAAUGCUAACGAAACCAAAACAUAUUUUCUUUAAAAGUAUGAUAAAAUGUUCGUGCAUAUAUACGAAAAUCACGAAAAUGAAUCAAUAAUACAAUGUACGUGCAUUUAAAAAAAAAAAUAAAUAAACAUAAUAAUGUAUAAACAUAAUAUAUUAGUAAUUAUCAAAAAUAUGGACAUGUAUAUAUAAAAAACAAAUUUAAAAAAAAUAUAUAUAUAUAAAGGUAUAGAAUAAUAUAUAUCUAUGUAUACGUAUAUAUAUAAAAAUAUUUGGAUCAUAAAAUAUACAAAACAUAUAUAUAUUAUAAAAAUAUAUACGCAUACAUAUGAAUAUAAAGUUAAGAAAAAUAAAAUAAGAAUAAAAUAUAUGAUAUGUAUAUAGUAUAUAUUUAAAACGUUUUAAAAAAAAAUAUAUAUAUAUAUAUGUGUAUGUAUAUUAAGAGGCAUAUGCGCAUAUAAAUAAAUAUAAUAAUAGUACUAUAUAAUAUGAUAAUAAUAAUAAACUAAUAACGAUACAGUAAUAAUAAUAUAAAUAAAUAGUAUUAAUAACGUAAUAAAUAUAAAAAAAUAGCAAAUUAAGGAUUAAAUUAAAAAACAAACAGAAUUUGAAAGCUAAAUUUGAAAAUGAAAACAAGAAAGGGAGUAGUUUAAAACACGCGCAACAGGGAGAGGGCCGAAGGAGCAAAUUACCCAAAAACACUGCACAACACUGCACUAAAAUAAAACAGAUUCGAUAUUUCAUGGAUAAAUUUGAAAACAAAAAGAAAUGGUUUUGAAAUAAUAGGAUAAAAUGGAAGGAGUAAAAACACAAAUAACCCAUUUCAAACUCUAGUUAAAACCUUAUUCCCUUUUGCUGUAACAGCAGCCUCAAGAACUGCUCCAUCCUCUCCUCUGCUUUGCAAGCCAAACUCCCCCCCUUCCAACUUCGAUUUAGAUGAAGAGAAGCAAGGAUGUCGACGGCGCACUUCGUUUGGUAAGGAUUUCUCCUCUUUCUUUUAUUUUUGUUUUAAAAAAUUAAAGGAAAAACCCCAAAAUAAAAUCAAAAAACAAUAAAAAGAACAGGAAAAAAAAGAACAAAACCGAUCACCUUUCCAAAAUUCUUCCUCUGAUUCUUUACUUGUAUUUCAUUAAUCUUUCCAUACAAUAUUUUGCUCCAAUUUCUUAUUUUUAUCCACUCUCUCAAUAAUUUUCUGAUACAAAAAUGUCAACCCCCCCUCUCUAUUUUUCUUUUUUCUCUUCAUUUUCGUAACCCCCUUCAUUUCUCCUGUUUUCCUCCUUUUGUUGCCGUUUUUG